GAGAUACUAGUACAUUGAAAUGAUUUCUCGAGUUCAUAUCAGCCGAAGCUGAAGUCUUGAGCCCAGCUCAGCUAGCAUAGGGUGCCGUGAAACCGCAGUUCAUCAUAACUAAAACGGCCGUUUGCAUGUUGACAAACAAGAAACAACAGUACCAUUUUGUGUUCUAAAACCAGGCUGGGCAAACCAAAAAGAUCAACACGCAGCAGACCAACAGUAUAAACAUUACUCGUAGCUAGCUGCCGCCCAAAGACUUGGCUGCAGCCGUCCUGGAUAACACCUUGAUCUGUCCCCUCAUCCGCCCCCAGGCCCUCAUCCACCAUGGGUCAAGCAUCAGCCUCCUUCUCCCCGUCCACCGCGACACACCUCCGCGGGUUCUGGAGCCCGAGCGGCUGCUGCGACAACGGCGCUUGCACGGCAGUCCCCCGGCGAGGCCCGUCAGUUCUUCAUCAGUAGGUCCUUCCACGCCUCCAGGGUUAGCUUCUCGUGGUUCUGGUGCCGACACAGCGUCAUCCACUCCUGGGUAGUCAGCGUGGCGUGGGACUGCAUGCACAAGAUUACACUGUUAUAUUGAAGGCCAAGUGACUUUGGGAUGAGAAUGGUUGGAUAUUUAUUGAAAAGCUUUGUAAUGCGAUUGAGAUUUACCCAAAAAAAUGCAAGCAACUUAUGAAUAGAUAACCCAAGAUCAAAUCCAGCAAUUAAUAAAGUACUCACGAAAUUCAGCAAAGUUCUGCAAACAAUUUUUUUUUGUUAGUGAUAUUUGUAAAGUCAAGUUCGGUCAUGCAGCAACCAGGGCAACUGCCCCGUGCUCUAUAGUGUAUGUGUGUUGCCCUGCUUCAAAGGAAGGGCAUGGAUGAGAAGGAAGCACGGACAUAAAGGAGACGAAGGUGGUUCAAGAAAAAAGAAUAGCAUUCGCAGAAAGAAAGCCCCAACAAAGGCUUAGUUGUAAAAUUGUUGGAAUUCAGUGCCAAAGAAGAAUCGAUUCGCUAGACUAAUGACAACAUGAAUCACAGAAGUGCACUGCAAACAGGGAGAAAUGUAAAAGGUUGCGUCUGCAUGCAGGCAAACAAAGUUCGAGUUUUGACAGACAUGACAGAAGAAAGUACAAUCUCUGUUAAGUGUCAGCAAAAUUGUUGCUAAAAAAGAUGAAUUGUGAGGUGCAACAAGGAUUAUUGUGAUCAGACAAAUGCAAAUAAUGUCAUUUGGUUCGUCAUUCAAACAAUCUUGUGAUUACACAUUUCAUUUAUUAAGAACGUAUAAAAUUUACACAUUGGAUACCAAAAAGACAUUUUUGCCUCUUACUCCAUCUUAAAUCAGCAACACUUAUUUUUGCCUCUUACUCCUCUUACUCCAUCUUAAGAUAAUUUUGUAUAUGAAAUCGAUAAAGAAUUUACAAAUGUAACGGAGACCACAUAAGACUUCCAAAUAGCAUAAGUCCUGCUUGACUGGAAUAAAUGUGUCUAAGCAGAACACCACAAAGAUGAACUGGCAUCAAUGUCCUGAUUUAAACUUGUAUCCAAUCUCCAUUAUCUUCGCCAUGAAAACUGAAUCAAUUGUUGUGACUCGUGACCCAAUGUUUUUUUUAUGAUUACGCAAUACCCCUAAAAUGCUACUUACAAUGUGUUAGAUCCUCCCUUUCACUUCUCAAAUAACCUUAAGAUGGCACAUAGAAAAGACAAACAAAUUAGCUUGAUCAGCUUUGCCACAAGCACACAAAAAAAGCAGCAAACAGUAAACUAUGCAAUAAAUACUUACUGAUCACAUUAAUGAGCUAGCAAGUAUCAGAAAAGCUAUGUGAUAGUUAUAACUAAAAAAGAAAGGAGGUAACUAGCAUGCAACAGAAGGUUUACCACAAGACACUGUCGGUGAUGAUAAUAACGACGGUGGGAAGCUGCAAUAUACUUCUGACGGUUUAGGACAUGAAAGACACACCCUCUCAAGCUGCAAUGUGUCGACGUCCUGCGUGUAAAAACCUCGCUUGACCGACGAGAUUCCGACAUAAUAUAGGAGCAAGUGCCUCCCGACUGCAUCCGCGAUUGAGCAGUCAGAAUCCAGCGAGAUUGUCUUCUCCAUCUGCCACUGGGUGGAAUUCCCACCAUAGUUUCGCCGCCAAACUGUGUCCGGUUUAGGCACAAACAUCAGAGUCCUGCCUUGGCUUGCCUCCACGACGACCACAUCAUCGCCCGAAAAUCGGGCACAGGGUGGGUGGUCAACCAUGGAGAACUCCAUCUUACGGAUGUCAAGCACGAGCAAUUUUUUAAUGGAACCUGAAAUCCAGUAGAAGCAGCCAUGUGCGUAAUGGCGCCACACAAACCAAAACUUCCAUGUGGAUAACUGUAAGCCAGGUAACCUCCAACUCCAAGCCAGGGGUGUAAUGGAUCGCCGGCGCGGAGGGGUGAGGCGGUUCGGCGGGGUGGAAGCCGCUCUAGUCGAGGAAGCCGAGGAGGGGCGCGGGGUGGAGCUUGCGGAAGCGCCGGAGGAAGGCGCGGUCGGCGACGAGGCGGUGGAAGGAGACGCAGGCGGCCGAGGCGCGGAUGAGGUCCUCUGGGGUGGGAAGGUGGAGGAAGAUGUCCGCCAGGAUCUCGUUGGGGAUCGCCGGCAAGGCCAUCUCCCGGCCGUUCUUCGGCGUCGGUGCUGGCGGCGGCGGCUGUGUGGGAGUUAGCACGAGACUGUAAAAGAAGGGCUAUGGGCUGACAAAUUUAUCUUCUUAUUUCGUUGAGAUAGAUGGACCUCACUCGAAAAAAAAGAAAGAUAAAUGGCCUGUGUAGGCGUGGUGGCAUUAUACUCUCCAAUUACGGAAGUCUGGGCGCACGCUGAGGGCCUCCACGUCAGAUUAGAACAUUGUUUAGAGAGAGAGAAAAGAUCGACUGGGCUACCCUACAUGUUAUUGGUUCAGGUGGCUACCAACGAUUGGGCAGUGUGAUCCAGGAUUGACAUCGCUCUGCUCUGUUUCUCCCCCACGCACACGCGACCUCUCCUCUCAUUCCCUCUCCCACACGCCUCCUCAUCGCGACCCUUACCUUUGAGCCCACCGUCAGCUGGGGACGACCUCGCACCCCCGAUGCUGCGCCCGCGAGCGGAGGAGCGGGGAGUGGCGGCGGUGGCCAGGCCUGGUGAUGUCAGGAUGAUGGCGUGGUCGGAGGCGCUGUGUUGGCAUGAUAGCCGAGAUCGAGCAUCAACAGNNNNNNNNNNNNNNNNNNNNNNNNNNNNNNNNNNNNNNNNNNNNNNNNNNNNNNNNNNNNNNNNNNNNNNNNNNNNNNNNNNNNNNNNNNNNNNNNNNNNNNNNNNNNNNNNNNNNNNNNNNNNNNNNNNNNNNNNNNNNCAAAUGACAAUUGGAACUUCAUCCAGGUUUGUUGCUAAUCCUAGACAGCAUCAAGUUGCAACACUCAUCCAGGAGCAUAAGUUACUGGAACAAUUAAGUUGGAGAUACUAGUACAUUGAAAUGAUUUCUCGAGUUCAUAUCAGCCGAAGCUGAAGUCUUGAGCCCAGCUCAGCUAGCAUAGGGUGCCGUGAAACCGCAGUUCAUCAUAACUAAAACGGCCGUUUGCAUGUUGACAAACAAGAAACAACAGUACCAUUUUGUGUUCUAAAACCAGGCUGGGCAAACCAAAAAGAUCAACACGCAGCAGACCAACAGUAUAAACAUUACUCGUAGCUAGCUGCCGCCCAAAGACUUGGCUGCAGCCGUCCUGGAUAACACCUUGAUCUGUCCCCUCAUCCGCCCCCAGGCCCUCAUCCACCAUGGGUCAAGCAUCAGCCUCCUUCUCCCCGUCCACCGCGACACACCUCCGCGGGUUCUGGAGCCCGAGCGGCUGCUGCGACAACGGCGCUUGCACGGCAGUCCCCCGGCGAGGCCCGUCAGUUCUUCAUCAGUAGGUCCUUCCACGCCUCCAGGGUUAGCUUCUCGUGGUUCUGGUGCCGACACAGCGUCAUCCACUCCUGGGUAGUCAGCGUGGCGUGGGACUGCAUGCACAAGAUUACAC
rnacentral:lncRNA from 1 species